CCUACGGGAGGCAGCAGUGAGGAAUAUUGGUCAAUGGGCGAGAGCCUGAACCAGCCAAGUCGCGUGAAGGAUGACGGCCCUACGGGUUGUACACUUCUUUUGUCAGGGAGCAAUUGGGUCCACGCGUGGGCUUAGCGAGCGUACCUGAAGAAAAAGCAUGGGCUAACUCCGUCCCAGCAGCCGCGGUAAUACGGAGGAUGCGAGCGUUAUCCGGAUUUAUUGGGUUUAAAGGGUGCGUAGGCGGAAUAUCAAGUCAGCGGUAAAAAUUCGGGGCUCAACCCCGUCGUGCCGUUGAAACUGAUGUUCUAGAGUGGGCGAGAAGUAUGCGGAAUGCGUGGUGUAGCGGUGAAAUGCAUAGAUAUCACGCAGAACUCCGAUUGCGAAGGCAGCAUACCGGCGCCCAACUGACGCUGAAGCACGAAAGCGUGGGUAUCGAACAGGAUUAGAUACCCCAGUAGUC
rnacentral:rRNA from 1 species